UCUACUGAGCAUACAUAGGAUGUGCUAGUUUUUUCGGAACAUCGAUCCCGAUUCAAUGUCCCUGGAACUAGGAAUGUUCUAAAUCAGGAUUUUAGGGUUUUAGGUCUCAUAGGUAUGAUCUCAUCAUAGCCCUAAAACUAUUGUCCUGAUCUAUGGGAUUCAUCAUGAUCUUAAUCAAAAACAUAAGAUGCAGCACAUGUACCUUUUAUUAAUAUAAAAUGUCAUUUACAUAAGUC
rnacentral:lncRNA from 1 species